rnacentral:rRNA from 1 species
UCGGGAAUUUUGGGCAAUGGGGGAAACCCUGACCCAGCAACGCCGCGUGAAGGAUGAAGUAUUUCGGUAUGUAAACUUCGAAAGAAUAGGAAGAAUAAAUGACGGUACUAUUUUAUAAGGUCCGGCUAACUACGUGCCAGCAGCCGCGGUAAUACGUAGGGACCAAGCGUUGUUCGGAUUUACUGGGCGUAAAGGGCGCGUAGGCGGCAUGACAAGUCACUUGUGAAAUCUCUGGGCUUAACCCAGAACGGCCAAGUGAUACUGUCGCGCUAGAGUGCAGAAGGGGCAAUCGGAAUUCUUGGUGUAGCGGUGAAAUGCGUAGAUAUCAAGAGGAACACCUGAGGUGAAGACGGGUUGCUGGGCUGACACUGACGCUGAGGCGCGAAAGCCAGGGGAGCAAACGGGAUUAGAUACCCUAGUAGUCCCUGAGCGGGCUGGCAAGGCGCAU